UGGUACCACGGACUUGCACAGGCAGAGGAGAAGCACCACUAAAAUAAGCUUCCUGAUACAGCACCAUUUUUAAUGUUUUCAUGUAUGGUGUAAAUUUCAGGGCAGCCAGAGGCGACACAGUACUCCAUCACGACACAGGCUUAUAAUCUCAGUGGGAAGUAGAGGAGUGAAGACCAGGAAUUCAAGGUCGUCGUUGUCUACACAGCAAGUUCCUGGCCUCCCUGCGCCGCGCGCGCGCGCGCGCACACACACACACACACACACACACACACACACACACACACACACACACCUCAAACAGCUCAUCUCCAGGAGACUUAGAGCCUCAGCUGCUAACCACAAUGGUUUUAUAUUAUUGUUGUCUCUGUGAACACUUUGGACCAGAGAAAAGGGGGAAUAGGCGAGGGGAAUCGGGCUGCUGAGGGGUUGUGUCUCCUUUAGGUACACUGUGGCUGUGUGGGUGGGGUGCUCAGCAGGGCAGAACGUGCUGUUUGUGAAGCGCCUGUGUGUGAUGAGGAGAGUAGGAAAACAUCCGUGUUGGUCUUGGUAUGAGGUUUCCUGGUGAGCUAGGGCUGGGAUGAGGGGGAUGCUAGGAUGUUGGCAGGUAAAAGCAGAGAAGAGUUGGCCUUUACUAAAUACAGAGUCACAGUGACAGCAGUGGUCUCCUCCACUCCUUUGUUUUAAAACUAUUGCUUUAUUUUUUAUAUUUAUUUUGUGUCUAUGGUAAUGCAAAUAUUUGUAGGUCAGAGGACAAUUUGUGGGAGUCAGUUCUCUCCUUCGACCUUGGGGAUUGGGGGGAUGGAAAUCAAGUAUUGGUUUGGUGGUGACCAUCUACCCACUGAGAUAUCUCCCUGGAUCUCUCUCUCUCUCCCUCUCUCUCUUCCUCUCUUGUUUUUGAGGAGUGUAGCCCAGGGUUAUGUGGAGCACAUGGCAAUCCUCCUGUUUCAGCUUCCCAAAUGCUGAAAUUAAUUAUAGGCCUGAGCCACCAUGCCUGGCUCACCACUCCCUCCCCUCUUUAUAUCACAUAGCGCCCUCCUUUCCCAAUUAAACUGUGGAGGAGAACUGCUCUGGUAGGCUUCACAUUAGUUACCAGCUACCCAACUGAGAAACCUCAGUUUGAGAACGGCCAUUUGUAUUCUUUAAGGUUUGCUAUAGCCUUUAGAUUUACUGGAAAUCAAAUUUAUGGCUGGUUUAUUUUCUUUAAAAUUUUUUGAAAAAAGUGUGUGUGUGUGUGUGUGUGUGUGUGUGUGUGUGUAUGUAGGUGUGUGUGUAGGUGUUUUGCCUGCCUAUGUGUCUAUGCACCGUGUGUAAUGCCCCAUAAGGCAAGAAGAGGGUACUGGGUCCCCUGAAACUGGGGUUACAGAUGUUUGUGAGCUGUCUCGUGGGUGUUGGGAAUUGAAAACUGGGUCCUCUGGAAGUACAGCUGUGUUCUUAACCACUGAGCAUCUCUCCUGCCACACAGCUAGUUCCAUGACCCAUUUUCCUCCAAGCCUUUGCUUUCUGUCCUUUUGUGGAGCUCUCGGAGUCUGAGCCGCUGAAGGCAACUACCUUGUAAAUAGCUGGCUCAAGUUUUAUAUGAUCACCCAAGACAAUCCAGAAACAAACAAACAAAAAACCCCCCACCCCUUCGAGGAAUCUAAGCCAGGCAUGGUGGGGUGGUCCAUGCCUUUAAUCCCAGCACUUUCAAGGCAGAGGCAGGUGGAUCUCUGAGUUUGAGGCCAGCCUGGUCUACUUAGUGAGUUUCAGGACAGCCAAAGCUACAUAGUGAGACCUUGUCUCAAAAAUAAUGCUACUAAUAAAAAGCCAGGUGUGGUGGUGCACGCCUUUAAUCGCAGCACUCAGGAAGACAGAGCAGGAAGAUCUCUGAGCUUGAGGCCAGCCUGGUCUACAAAGUAAAUCCAGGACAGCCAGGGCUCCUCAGAGAAACCCUGUUUCAAUAAUAAUAAUAAUGAAUCGAAACUUUUUCUCCAGCAUGCCACCCACACACUACAUUGAGUUUCCCAGGUUGUUGCGUGUGGCAAAGGAUUUCCGCUACACACCAUGUGGUGACACUUCCCUGCAGAGGACUGAGGCUGUAGCUUGGAAAGAUCUCUUUGGGAUAUUUGUGGCCAAGGAACCUUUAACAGGAGGGCCAAGGAGGGUAGCCUUGGGCAGCCUGUCAGGUGAAGAGCUGGGGUCUGGGUGCUACUAUUCUUAAUCACCUCCACCCGUACCUCUCUUUGUCAGAUUUUUGAGGAACAGUUUCAUUUUCAGCCCAGAUUGGCCUAGAACCCUCAAGGUUUCCAGGCCUCCAGCUGAUGGUGAUCCUCCUGCCUCAGCCUUCCAGUGCUUGGAUUACAGGCAUGCCUGGCUUUUUGCUCUUUCUCCUAAGAGCAUGCAUGGCUGGUAAACUGACCUACACAUACCAUAUAAGUUAGAGUUACAACCCUCUGCCAUGAAAUAUCUAGAUUCUAGAGUUUCUACAAGCAAGAGCUGGUCUUAGUGUGUUGUGCCUAUUAUCCCAAUACUCAGGAGGCUGAGGCAGAAGAAUCCAGAAUUUCAAGGCCAGUCUGUUCACACUGAGACCUUGACUAAGAAAAUAAUUUUUAAAAGACCCCACAAUAUAGGAGAUGGGUUAUUGUACCAAUAGGCAAGAUGAGCCAACUCCCCUAGGAGAUAAGUGAGUUUAGGUUAGUGGUGGUUUCAAGUCACUGCAGGGAAGGGAGACAAAACAUGAAAAUGUUUUGGGCUUUUGAGGAGAAUGAGGAACAGAGUUGUGGAAGGAAGGGUGGGUGGGUGUGCUUUCAUCAAGGACAGAGGUGAGAAAAAGGGAGGUUCCUUGCCACCCAGACUCUGCCGAAGCUGGAGGGACACCCCCUCCUCCUGCCCUAAUCCCCCAUUAAGGCAGCUCUGAGCUUGUUAUGACAGCGGCUGAAGGGGGCUGAAUUGCUGUUUGCCGUGUCUACUAAUUGGACUGAAGGGCUGGAGUCUGGACGCUGAAAGGGACCAUUGUUGCUGUUUACCUUGUACAGCUGCCUCCCUGGGACCCUCGAUUCAGGGCAGGAGCAUGCCCUCAGGUUGUGGCACCCAUUCCCCGUGUCCGAGUGAGGACAGCCUGUGGAGGCACUGCUCACCCUCUUGCCUUGUGUGAUCUUCAACCCUGGGCGGGUGGGUGCGCCACCCUCCCGCCCUCUCUUGCCCCGCGGACAAGGACGCGAGGAGCAGUGGCGUCCAGCACCACGGACAGUUCCCAGUGACCAAAGAAAAGACCUGACCUCACCCUGUGCUCUUGCGCAAGGCAAAAUGUGUUUCCAGAUUGCCAACGGGCUUGUUCCCACAAGCAGAAGUGGACAGAGGCGGAGGUGUAGCCUAGCAGCUUUUUUCCAGAGCCGUGGAGUGAAGACCUUGCUUGCCUGGUCACUUUGAGCAAACCGUCCAACCAGGCCCAUCAAUUUCCCCUGUUGCCUGGGUCCCCGGAUCUCCAAUAAAGAGUGUUGUGGAUUAAA